AGCCUGAUGCAGCAUGCGCUUUUGAAGAAGCUUCGUUGUAGGACCUUCAGCGGGAGGAGCGAUUAGGUUAUACCUUGUCGAUGACGUACCGCCAGAAGAAGCACGCUAACUCCGUGCCAGCAGCGCGGUAUACGAGGGGUGCAAGCGUUAAUCGGGAUUACUGGCGUAAAGCGCACGCAGGCGGUCUGUCAAGUCGGAUGUGAAAUCCCCGGGCUCAACCUGGGAACUGCAUUCGAAACUGGCAGGCUAGAGUCUGUAGAGGGGGGUAGAAUUCCAGGUGUAGCGGUGAAAUGCGUAGAGAUCUGGAGGAAUACCGGUGGCGAAGGCGGCCCCCUGGACAAAGACUGACGCUCAGGUGCGAAAGCGUGGGGAGCAAACAGGAUUAGAUACCCUGGUAGUCACGCCGUAAACGAUGUCGACUUGGAGGUUGUGCCCGUGAGGCGUGGCUUCCGGAGCUAACGCGUUAAGUCGACCGCCUGGGGAGUACGGCCGCAAGGUUAAAACUCAAAUGAAUUGACGGGGGCCCGCACAAGCGGUGGAGCAUGUGGUUUAAUUCGAUGCAACGCGAAGAACCUUACCUACUCUUGACAUCCAGAGAACUUAGC
rnacentral:rRNA from 1 species